rnacentral:rRNA from 1 species
UACGUAGGGUGCAAGCGUUGUCCGGAAUUAUUGGGCGUAAAGAGCUCGUAGGCGGUCUGUCGCGUCUGCUGUGAAAACUCGGGGCUUAACUCCGGGCCUGCAGUGGGUACGGGCAGACUAGAGUGCGGUAGGGGAGACUGGAAUUCCUGGUGUAGCGGUGAAAUGCGCAGAUAUCAGGAGGAACACCGGUGGCGAAGGCGGGUCACUGGUCCAUUACUGACGCUGAGGUGCGAAAGCGUGGGGAGCAAACAGG